rnacentral:rRNA from 1 species
UGGGGAAUAUUGCACAAUGGGCGAAAGCCUGAUGCAGCGGCGCCGCGUGCGGGAUGAAGGCCUUCGGGUUGUAAACCGCUUUUAAUUGGGAGCAAGCGAGAGUGAGUGUACCUUUUGAAUAAGCACUGGCUAACUACGUGCCAGCAGCCGCGGUAAUACGUAGGGUGCAAGCGUUAUCCGGAAUUAUUGGGCGUAAAGAGCUCGUAGGCGGUUUGUCACGCCUGGUGUGAAAGUCCAUCGCUUAACGGUGGAUCUGCGCCGGGUACGGGCAGGCUAGAGUGCAGUAGGGGAGAUUGGAAUUCCCGGUGUAACGGUGGAAUGUGUAGAUAUCGGGAAGAACACCAAUGGCGAAGGCAGAUCUCUGGGCUGUUACUGACGCUGAGGAGCGAAAGCAUGGGGAGCGAACAGGAUUAGAUACCCUGGUAGUCCAUGCCGUAAACGGUGGAUGCUGGAUGUGGGGCCCUUCCACGGGCUCCGUGUCGGAGCUAACGCGUUAAGCAUCCCGCCUGGGGAGUACGGCCGCAAGGCUAAAACUCUAAAGUGAA